rnacentral:lncRNA from 1 species
GGAUGGACACUACUGCUAAGGGGUUUCCUCAGCCAUACAUGUCCUUAAGGCAACCAUGAGGGGGAUGAAGUACGCCAAUGAACAUUUAAUUCAUCAACACCUACAAGUUGCGAACCUACUAGUGUUCCACUUGGACUAUCUAGAAAUUAUGUGGUCGUCAUCUAUACUUCGCUAGAUGACUACAACAACAACAACAACAACAACAUCGAGGCCUCUCGCCAUUUUAACACACAUCAACUAUUUCAUCUACCCAUGUUCUACCCAACAUAUUUUGUAGAUAAAAAGCAUAUACAGUUUAAAACUUGUAUAAAACAUCAAUUCAACAGUCACCUCGAAUAAACAAUUAGCAUAUUUACACAUAACACGUAUUUCAAGGUAAAUACUUCAUAUCUAUGUGUAAAUUGAAAGUAACUACACACUCACGUAUUUUGGUGAAAAUCGGGCAGCAAUUUGUUUCCUAAAAUGAUCGUUUCUAAUAAAUCCGGGAGUUUUAUUGAGAAACCGGGCUCUGCAAAAUUCGGGCUUCGAAACCGAAAAGAUAAUUUUUCCGGGCUUCACGGGCACUUCGUGGGGUAUUCCGGGCUUUACAAUCGAUACCGGGGCUUUGCGGGAUGUUAAAAUGAAGAAAAUAGGGUUUAGGGNGAUCGGAUGGUCAGGAGGGAGGCACGCGUCGCAGAUCCGAAGCUCGCAGAGGGGGAUGGCUCGGACAUGGCUCACACAUGGUCUGCGCAUGUGAGGGCUCGCUGGCAUCUUUCGAUUGGACCUCGACUUACUUGUGCACCUGCGAGGUUCAGAUUUGGGUGUGAGAGUUGGAGCUAGGCUAUGCGAGGCUCGGACACACGCGACAGCAGGGCGAAGCUUCAGCUGGGAAGUUGGCUGCUUUGGAUUGGGCCUCCUCCUCGGUCGAAUCAGAAGAGGGCACGUGGCUUCGCAUGACUCAGCAGCCUAAUAACUCAGCAACCAGGUGACUCAGCAGGACACGUGUCACAUUCUAAGCGAGGGUGACAUGGCAAUUGUGACUAUGCGAAAUUUCUCGGUUUUCGUGCCAAAACUUCUAAAAUUCAUAACUUUCGCAUACGAGCUCCGUUUUUGACGUUCUUUAUAUGCACGCGUAGCUAAAAUUACGAUCUACAACUUCCGUUUAGACUUCGUCGGCUAAUUUUGAAUUUAAAUUUUUUAUUAUUAUUUUUAACAGACCGGGACAGGAAAUCCGUUAAAAAUCAUACCUUCUUCAUCCGAUGUCCGUUUUCGUUAGACUUUUUACCGUUGUGCUCCUAAUGACGAGACCUUCAAUUCUCGUUUAGGUUGUGUCGGCUAAAAAUCGCUCGAUCUAAAAUUCGAGUUUUUAGCUGUCUACUGCUACACUGAAACUUCGAAAAAUCAUAACUUCCUCAUACGAAGUCAGAUUUGGGCGUUCUUUUUAUCGAACUUCUCGGUUUAACGAAUACUACGACUUUCAUUUAGAUUACUAAGGCUAAAAAGUAGUUUAUCAAAAACUCACUCUUUACGACAUUCAGCAGCGUGCCGGUUUUGUCGCGAAACAUCAACAAUACAUAACUUCUUCGUUAUAGCUCGGAUUUUGGUAUUCUUUAUAUCCCCGAAAUCCUUGUUUCAACCACUACAACUUUAUGUAAAGGUAUCGAUCUUAUCUCACACUUUAAUUUUGACGCUUAUUUUUAUUCUUCAUUAAUUAAGCCCUAAUAAUUAAACAUAAACACAUAAUUCACAUAAUAUUUACAUAAUUACUUUUCAUUUCUUCAAAAUGAGUUAUAAAGGUUAACCUAGACUAUCAACUCAAUAUAAAUGCCUAGGCUAGAAACACGAGUGUUACAAUUCUCUCCCCCUUAGGAUGAUUCCGUCCCCGGAAUCACAUAUCACCAAACAACUGCGGGUAGCGACUCAUCAUGUCACUCUCCGUUUCCCAAGUGAGAUUUGGUCCAUUCGUAUGUUUCCAGCGCACAAGCACUAAAUCGACCAUCUUGCGUCGUAACUUCAUAGUCUUACGGUCAACAAUUGCCUCAGGUUCCUCGAUCAACCUCUUGUUUUCAUCCAACCUUAACUCAGAAAUCGGAAUUAUGUCGGGCACAUCUCCCGUGAACUUUCUCAAGUAACAUACAUGAAAGGUGUUAUGAAUACCUUCCAGUUCUUCCGGUAACUCUAGCUUGUAAGCUUGAUUCCCGGUCCUCUGAAGAACUUUAAAUGGUCCAAUAAACCUUGGACUCAACUUCCCUCUCUUACCAAAUCUUAUAAGUCCCUUCCACGGCGAGACUUUGAGUAAAACCGAAUCUCCAACAUCGAAGGAUAUCAGUUGUCUUUUCUUGUCAGCAUAACUCUUUUGUCGAUCUUGAGCAGCUAACAUCCUUUCCCUUAUCACUUUCAACUUUUCAGCAGUCUCAUGAACUAUUUCAGGUCCCAUAAACUGCUUUUCCCCAGCUUCCAGCCAGCGUGAUGGCGUUCGACACUUUUCCCCAUAUAAAGUGUGAUAAGGUGCCAUCUUAAUGCUUGAGUGGAAACUAUUAUUAUAGGAGAAUUCUACUAAAGGUAAGUGUUCAUCCCAGUUACCUUGGAAUUCUAGGGUACAUGCUCUCAGCAUAUCCUCCAAUGUUUGAAUCGUUCGCUCACUCUGACCAUCGGUUUGCGGAUGGUAAGUUGUACUCAAACACAACUUGGUAUCCAAUUCCUCUUGUAGACUCCUCCAAAACCUUAAGGUAAAACGGCUAUCACGAUCGGACACAAUCGUUAACGGAACACCGUGAAGCCUCACAAUUUCCUUCACGUAAGAAUUUGCAAGUUAAUCCAUAGACCAUUUCUCUUUGGCCGCUAUGAAAUGCGCACUCUUAGUGAAGUGAUCAACGAUCACCCAAAUCAUGUUGUAACCGUUCCUUGUUCUGGGAAGUUUAGUCACAAAUCCAUGGUGACGUCUUCCCAUUUACCCAUGGGUAUGGGUAAAGGUUCUAAACUCCCUUACGGUUUCUGAUGUUAUGCCUUAACCCUAGCAUAAGUUACACACUCGGCCACAUACUUAGCAACAUCGAGCUUCAUCGUCGGCCACCAAUAAUAGGUUUUUAGGUCCCUAUACAUUUUUGUAUUGCCGGGAUGAAUUGAGUACAUGGUCUUGUGAGCUUCUUCCAUCAAAAGAUCUCUUAUUCCGCCUCUCUUAGGUACCCAAAUUCUAUCUUGAAAUACCUUCAACCCUUGGUUGUUUGUACCGAACACUAACGUUUUGCCCAAACGUUCUUCCUUUCGGUCAUUUUUCUCUAAAGCUUCCUCUUGAGCUUUCUUUAUACUUUCCACAAUUGUCGAGACAACUUCAAUUCUCAACGCUCUUGGCCUUUUCUUUACAAGGUUUACCCUCCGACUGAGAGCAUCGGCAACAACAUUUGCUUUACCAGGGUGGUAAAGUAUCUCACAGUCGUAGUCCUUGAGUAACUCUAGCCAGCGUCGUUGCCUCAUGUUCAAUUCCUUCUGAUUAAAGAGAUAUUGGAGACUCUUAUGAUCAGUGAAAAGUUUACACUUGGUGCCAUAAAGAUAAUGCCUCCAUAUCUUCAAGGCAAAUACUACCGCUGCCAACUCCAAAUCAUGAGUGGGGUAGUUCUUUUCAUGUUCCUUCAAUUGCCUCGAUGCAUACGCGAUCACUUUAUCCCUUUGGGUCAGAACACAACCUAACCCAACUCCGGAUGCAUCGCUAUAAACUGCAAAGUCAUCAACUCCUUCAGGCAAUGAAAGAAUCGGUGCUUCACACAAUCUCUUCUUCAACUUCUCAAAGGCUUCCUUAUGCUUCUCAUUCCAAGCAUAAGUGGCUCCUUUGUGGGUCAAAGCUGUUAAUGGAGUAGCAAUCGAAGAAAAGCCUUGGAUAAACCUUCGGUAAUAUCCAGCUAAUCCUAAAAAGCUUCGAAUCUCCGUAGGACUUUUUGGUUGUUCCCACUUCAUUACAGCUUCAAUCUUUGCUGGGUCGACCAUUAUCCCUUCUUGGUUAACCACAUGACCUAAAAAUUGGACUUCUUGAAUCCAAAAUUCACACUUGGAGAACUUUGCAUACAGCUUCUCCUUUUUCAGGACUUCUAGCACUUCACGCAGAUGCUUUUCAUGCUCCUGCUUGCUUUUCGAAUAAAUCAAGAUAUCAUCUAUGAAUACUAUCACGGAUUUAUCUAAGAAUGGUUUACAAACCCUAUUCAUCAAAUCCAUGAAAGCUGCUGGGGCAUUGGUUAGUCCGAACGACAUAACCAAAAAUUCAUAGUGUCCAUAUCUCGUUCUAAAAGCAGUCUUUUCGAUAUCCUGCUCUCUCACCUUUAGUUGAUGGUAUCCCGACCUAAGAUCGAUCUUCGAGAAAUAGCUCGAACCCUGCAACUGGUCGAACAAGUCAUCGAUCCUUGGCAACGGGUACUUGUUCUUUAUCGUCACUUUGUUCAGCUCUCUGUAAUCGAUGCACAUUCUCAUGCUUCCGUCUUUCUUCUUUACAAAUAACACAGGGGCUCCCCAGGGUGAUGAACUAGGUCGAAUGAAACCUUUGUCCAAUAACUCCUGAAGUUGUGUCAUAAGUUCUUUCAUUUCGGUUGGCGCUAAUCGAUAAGGUGCUUUCGCUAUCGGCGUCGUUCCUGGUAACAAGUCGAUACGAAAUUCUACUUGUCGAUCAGGGGGCAAUCCGGGAAGAUCUUCGGGAAAGACUUCCGGAUAAUCACACACCACCGGAAUAUUCUGCACCUCCUUCUUUUCCAUCUUAGCAUCGAUCACGAACGCUAGAUAUGAUGUACAUCCCUUGGCCAAACACUUUCUGGCUUUCAUUAGGGAAAUGAUUCCAGAAUUUACUCUGCGUUUGUCUCCAUACACCAUAAACGACUAUUUCCCUGGCGGGUUUACUUUUACUAUCUUCUUUCUACAUAGUAUUUAUGCAUCAUUGGCGCUAAGCCAAUCCAUUCCUAAAACUAUGUCGAAUCCAUUUAACUCGAUAGGCAAUAAUUCCUCUUGGAACUUAUUCCCAUCCAAGUCAAUGAGGAUGUUUUUCAUACGAUGGCUAACAGGUACAAACUUGCCAAUAGCAAUCUCGACUAAUAAGGCAUUCACUAGCCUAUCUACAGGAAAAUCGAGCUUUCUACCAAAUUCGUGCGAUAUAAAGGAGUAAUUGGCUCCAGAAUCAAACAAAAUUUGGGCAGGCAAUUCGUUUACGAGAAAGGUACCUAAAGCAACAUCGGCUUCUUCUUUCGCAGCUUCGAGUGUCAUCUGAAAGGCUCUCGCCUUCGGCUUUGGUGGUAGAUUGGGUUUUGCUGCGUCCUUCUUCUUCGGGCAGUCCCUCAAAAUAUGCCCUUCUUCAUUGCACCCAAAACAUACGUUCUUAUUGAAGGUGCAUUCAUUGGCAUAAUGCCCUGGCUUUCCACAUUUGUAACAAGUGACUUCCACGCUGCACUUCCCAGCAUGUUUCUUCUUACACUUGUCACACCACUUGGCUUCGCUUCCUCCUCCAAACUUUCUCGAACCAGUCUUCGAGAAUUUGUUCUUUUUAUUGGAACCUGAAGUUCCUUCAAACUUUCUCUUUUCGCCAACUUCAACCUUGCUGGCGGCUCUCCCUUUUAUCAUAUCUUCAACAGACUUGGCAGCCCAGAUAGCUGCCUCCAAAGUAAGUGCCUGACGUACUGGCACCGCAUACUCCCAUGGAAGUCCCUUUGCGUACCUGUCUAUUUUUGCCAACUCAUCUGGGACAAUACGCAAAGCAAACUCCAUUUUGUCUGUGAAGUUAUUUGUAUAUUCGUCAACGGUCAUACUCCCCUUCUGCAACGUUAGAAAUUGGUUUUCUAACUCAAGUACGUUUUGGGCCGAGCAGUACUUGCGCUUGAAGUGCACUAAGAACUCUGCCCAAGUUAAUUGCAGUGGCUCAUUAGGGCUUAGGGUUUUCCCCAAAGUGCUCCACCAACGGGCAGCACUACCCCUGAACUGACGUACUGCAAACGUAGUUUGUAACUUGCCUUGGCAAUCACAAGUCAUGAAAGCCAACUCCAUUUCCGAGAUCCAGUCCAUUACUCCGACAGGAUCUUCUUUUCCAUUGAAGGUCGAUGGCUUGCAAGUCAUAAAGUCCUUAUACUUGCACCCAUUUCUCUCCACUCUACCCUCGUGGUUAUUCCUCCCAACCACAAGCGGUUCACUAUGACCAACCGAUCUGCUAUUGUUCCCUUCUUCAGAUCGAUCGUCAUUUAGUUCACGUUGUUCAACAGGAACUGAAGGUUCAUCCCUGUCGUUCAGCAACAUUUGCCUCAAUUCCUCCCUCUGUUCAGCCAACAUGGCCUGAAUCAUAGUUCGUACUCCAGCCAUAGUGAUGGGUUCGGGUGCAGCUCCUACUAUAGGCACCUGUUCCACCACUGGAGGUUGAGGUUGUUGGUUUCUGUUUGCAUUUCCAGCUCCACUCCGAGUUCUUGCCAUUACAAUCUAUAUACCGAAUAAGGCGAAAUUUAGGUCUUUAUCCUUGUUAGACAUGUCAAUUCCCUUAUCACUCCGAAACGUUUACAUGUUAGUUCUAAUCUCGUAUUCAUACGCUUAGAAUCCUACACACAUAAGGUUUCCAGAUCCGGUCGGCAACAGACCAUAGAUCCGAACAAAUAAUGGCACACAUGGCAAACACAUAGCAUUUAGCACAUAAGGGCAUUUUAGGCAUCUUCCCUAAAAUAAACUAGUGCUCGUGUCUAAAAUAUGGUAGACACUCAUCUCACAAUCAUCACUUAGCAUUCUAAGUUCAAGUCUAGAAAUUCUACAAUUUCUUAGUUCGCUUAAACUAAUGCUCUGAUACAAACUGUGACAUCCCCAUAUUUCUCGGCCAGAAAAGACCGAUUUAAUUUAUGCUUUUUAAAAUAAAAUCAGAGAAAUCUUUUUAUAAGAUAUUGCGGAAUUGGUCCCCAAACAAUAUAUGAUAAAAGUUUAUCAAAAUCCUUCAUUAAGAAGGUAUAUAUUUUCCAUAUAUAUAUCAAAACCUCGGGAUGUCAUGUUCCGAUACAGAUCAAAAGCAUAAACAAGACAUUAUAAGCCUUUCAACAGUUAUUUACAACUACUGGCCUAUAAUCCAAAAAUCUCUCGUCGUCCUCCGACUAUGCUCGGGGUCCACUACCUGUAAUCAUAAAACUGAGUGGGUCAGGCUUGGGAGCCUGGUGAGCAUAUAGGGUUUUCAACCCACAAUAAUAAUAUACUUAUUAAGUUCACCAAUCAACAAUAACCCUGAUUACCCAUUCCCGUUGUCCUCACUUUACGUCCCUAAACACCUAUCACAAGGGACCUAGCCUAAGGAUUAUCAUCGGGAUGGACACUACUGCUAAGGGGUUUCCUCAGCCAUACAUGUCCUUAAGGCAACCAUGAGGGGGAUGAAGUACGCCAAUGAACAUUUAAUUCAUCAACACCUACAAGUUGCGAACCUGCUAGUGUUCCACUUGGACUAUCUAGAAAGUCCGUGGUCGUCAUUUAUACUUCGCUAGAAGACAACAACAACAACAACAACAACAACAUCGAGGCCUCUCACCAUUUUAACACACAUCAACUAUUUCAUCUACCCAUGUUCUACCCAACAUAUUUUGUAGAUAAAAAGCAUAUACAGUUUAAAACUUGUAUAAAACAUCAAUUCAAGAGUCACCUCGAAUAAACAAUUAGCAUAUUUACACAUAACACGUAUUUCAAGGUAAAUACUUCAUAUCUAUGUGUAAAUUGAAAGUAACUACACACUCACGUAUUUUGGUGAAAAUCGGGCAGCAAUUUGUUUCCUAAAACGAUCGUUUCUAAUAAAACCGGGAGUUUUAUUGAGAAACCGGGCUCUGCAAAAUUCGGGCUUCGAAACCGAAAAGAUAAUUUUUUCGGGCUUCACGGGCACUUCGUGGGGUAUUCCGGGCUUUACAAUCGAUACCGGGGCUUUGCGGGAUGUUAAAAUGAAGAAAAUAUGGGUUUAGGGGUUAAAAAUGACAAAAUUCCAAAAUUACCCGGGAGGUCUCGCACCCUUCUAUUUAUAGGGGCGAGUCUUCUGAUCGGAUGGUCAGGAGGGAGACACGCGUCGCAGAUCGAAAGCUCGCAG